UACGGAGGGUGCGAGCGUUGUCCGGAUUUAUUGGGUUUAAAGGGUGCGUAGGCGGCCCGUUAAGUCCGAGGUGAAAGCCCGUUGCUCAACAACGGAACUGCCUUGGAUACUGACGGGCUUGAGUACAGACGAGGUUGGCGGAAUGGACCGAGUAGCGGUGAAAUGCAUAGAUACGGUCCAGAACCCCGAUUGCGAAGGCAGCUGACUAGGCUGUUACUGACGCUGAGGCACGACAGCGUGGGGAGCGAACAGG
rnacentral:rRNA from 1 species